AAUGUGUUCUCUCUCUCUGCAGUGGGUGAUGUCCGUCCCUCCCUGACGGUGCUGCCCCCCUCCAGAGAGGAGCUGCAGCAGGGGAAGGCCACGCUCAUGUGUCUGGCCAACAAGGGCUUCCCCUCAGACUGGAGUCUGUCCUGGAAGGUGGACGGCAGCAGCAGCACACAAGGCAGGAGCCCCGGGGUGCUGCAGGAGGACGGCCUCUACAGCUGGAGCAGCACCCUGAGGCUCCCUGCAGACCAGUGGAGGAAGGUGGGCUCUGUGAGCUGUGAGGCCACCCAGGGCUCCCAGACUCCACUCUCAGAGACACUGAGGAGAGACCAGUGUUCCCAGUCCUGACCUCACCCACU